rnacentral:misc_RNA from 1 species
GUAAUGUCCCAAAUAUGUGAAAGCAGCAGGGUUUUGUGGGUUGAGCUUGGCUGCUAUGAGAAAAUGUUGUGCGGCUUUCUCCUUAAUAUCUGGCAAUUCUCCUCCCUUGUCCCAUAAUAAGACUCCGAGAUCAAAAUGGAGAGAAGGGUCGCCGGGCUGGGAGACAACCGCUUCUUCUAACCGUCUUAUAGCAGCAUCGUCUUCUACACUCAUUUCAGCUUCUGAACCA